ensembl:lncRNA
CUAUAACAAACAGAGCACGGUCAGAUUACUUCCCACUCUUUCCUCAGAUAUAAUACGUAAGUAUUAUUACAAAUGAGGAAGAAACUAUUCUAAAACCAUUACAGUAUGAUUAUUUUACCCCAUCUAUAUUGCACCAUGAGCCUCAGACGUCAGGUUCUGGUGGGUGGGUUGACUCACUUUUGUGUUUACGUGUGGUGUCAAACAUUAUCUUCUUUUUUUUUCACUCAGGUGUAUUUUAGUCCUGUGGUCGCACAGUUCCAACUAAACUUCCUGUCCUCUUCCUCGUCAUUCAGUGCGUCAUAAGCGUCGUUGCUGCAGAUAUAAUGCAAACAAAUCCUGUUAAAUCUGCUGUCUCUGUCUGUUCACCUUUACUCUAAAACUCAAAUCAGCUCAUAUUAGUUCUUAAACUGCAAGUACUACCCCUGUGCACAGUGAGACAUGCUAAAAACUAUGUAUAAUAUUAAUAUAGGAUGUGAUUAUUAACAGGAUGUAUGUUUUAGAUAGAGAGGAAGUGUGUGUUGUGGUUUUGGGUGGUGUGUGAGUUCAUCGUCAUGCCAACAACCCAGAUACAGAUCUCAACUGGUACGAUGAAGAUUCCUCGUGUCUGAGGUUCUCAUUUUGACCUGAUGUUCAACUCUGACUGAAGGAGGUGUCAUUAGUCAGUGCCGGAGACUCCCUCCACAUUAUCUGUGGAGCUAAAAACUGACGAGCUGAUUCAACAGAUGUAAAAAAGAUCAAUUAUAGGGAAGUAACACUCAUAACAGGAAGUAAAUGCUGUAUCUGUCUUAAAGAAGCAUUCGUUCAGAGACUUUGACAGUUGAGGGCGUGAGAACAAGAGAUAACGAGAAGCAAGAUGGUUCAAUUCAAAUGGAUUAAAAUGUCUUUAUUUGUGAUACUGGUGCUUCUGUUUACAGCAGUAACUGGACAAAACUCCUCCUUCACUGUCAGAGUUGGAGAUGAAGUCACUUUGCCUUGUGAAAAUGUGAUUAAAAAUCAGGACAAAUGUGACAGUACCUCUUGGAUUGGCAGUCAGCCAUCUGGGGGAACAGCAAGAGAGCUGGUUACUCUUGGGAAGAUUAGUCAAACUGGGAUUUCCAAAGAUAUAUCAGACAGACUGAGUGUUACAGCGAACUGUUCUCUGGUUAUAAAGAAGGUCACAGACAAGGAUGUUGGUCGUUACAGCUGCAGACAGUUUAUAUCAGAACAACAACAAGGUCCAGACUCUCUGGUUUAUCUGUCUGUUAUUAACAUUGAGAAACAACAGUACAAUGAUACAGUCAUCUUGCUCUGCGCUGUGUUGACAUAUGGACGCUGUGGACACACAGUGAAGUGGCUGUAUGAUGAAAAAGAUAAGAAUGUGUUGGACACAUUAGAUACUGUCUGUUCAUCAAAGGUGACAUUAACAACUCAUCUCAAUCAGAAGUCAAACUAUUAUGAGUUAUUUAAGUGUAACGUGACAGAUAAUAAGAGAGGACAAACGCUGCUGUGUGAUGUCGGUUCCCAGUCCUCAUGUGAGAGAACAGGAAGCAAAGGGAAUAAUAAGACUGCAGAGGAUGACACUUCAACACAAGGUAGUGACUUAACAUCUCUCUCUCUCUCUCUCUCUCUCUCUCUCUCUCCCUCCUGCUCUCUCUCCUCUCUCUCUCAUCUGUUUCUCUCUCUCUCUCCUCUGUUCGUCUCUCUCUCUAACCCUCCCUCUCUCUCUCUCUCUCUCCUGUUUCUCUCUUCUCCUUCUCUCUCUCUCUCUCUCCUCUGUUCCUCUCUCUCUCUCUCCUCUGUCUCUCUCGCUCUCUCCUCUGUCUCUCUCGCUGUCUCUCUCUCCUCUGUUUCUCACCCCCCCCCCUCUCACUCUUUCUCUCUAUCUCCCUCCUGCUCUCUCUCUCAUCUGUUCCUCUCUCUCUCUCUCUCUCUCUCCUCGUUCUGAGGCGCCGGCAUGGCGUCCAGCAGCGGAUUCUCCAGGCUGACUCGGAAGCACGGCAUUAAAACCGGAGCCGGCUCUCCGUGCAGGGUGGAGGAGGUAGCACUGACUAGUUUGAUUAUCACUUCAGAGUCCGUGUGUCGAUGAUUUCGAGUACAUCCUCUUUGCGACAUCAUCCACUGUGAAAUGAUUCGGAUGUGGCUAAGAGGGACAUUUGAUUAAGGCCUGUCCGAGCCGCGGUGCCCCGGCAG